rnacentral:rRNA from 1 species
UUAAUAAUAAUUUUAUUAUUAUUUUUAGUUUAUUCUAAUUUUAUUAAAAUAAUAUUUAGUUUAGUAUAAUUUAUUGAAAUGCAAGUUUAGAUUAUAGUGUAAUAGUACUGUAAAGGAUUAAUUAUUAUUAUAUAAAAGUAAGAUUAAUUCUGUACCUUUUGUAUCAGGGUUUAUUAAUUUAAAGGUAAUUAAAUUACUUUUCCCGAAAUUAAAAGAGAUAAAAUUAAAUGUAAAUUUAUGUUAUAUAAUAAUUUAUAAUUAAAUUUUAGUGAUUAUAUGUUAUUCAAUUUUAAAUAUCUGGUUAUCUUAGAAUUAAAUUUAAUUUAGAAUUAUUUAGUUAAUUUAUACUUUAAUUUAAAUUAAUUAAAUAAUUUAAUGUUAUUAGGGAUUAGCUUAAUUAAUAUUUAUAUAAUAAUUUAAAUAUUUAAUUAAUUGUAGGUUUAGAAAUGACCAUCUUUUAUUUUGUUAUAAUUAAUUUUAUUUAGUUGUUUUAUUUUAUAUUAUUUAUUUAUAUAUAAGAUAAUAAAAUUUAAUAUAUUUUUUUAUAAUAUAAUGAUAAAAUUAGUAGAUAUUAAAUUUUAACUCAGGAACUCGGCAAAUAAUAUUUUCGCCUGUUUAACAAAAACAUGUCUUAUAUGAUUAAUUGAUUUUAAGUCUGACCUGCUCAAUGAAUAUUUUUUAAAUUGCUAUAGUAUUUUAACUAUACAAAGGUAGCAUAAUAAUUUGUCUUUUAAUUGAAGGCUGGUAUGAAUGGUUGGACGAAAAAUAAACUUUCUUAGUUAAAAUUAUAUCAAAUUUGAUUUUUAUGUAAAAAAGCUUAAAUUUUAUUGUGGGACGAGAAGACCCUAUAGAAAUUUAAUUAAUAUUUAAAUUCUUUACUAUAGAUUUAUUUAUAAUAUAUUAAUUUAUUAAUUUGUGUUGGGGUGACAGUAGAAAAUUAAUAACUUCUAUUUAUUAAAUUUUCAUUAAUUAGUGUAUUAAUGAUCCUUUAUUAUGGAUUAAAAGAUUAAUUUACCUUAGGGAUAACAGCGUUAUUACUCUGGAGAGUUCUUAUUGAUGGAGUAGUUUGCGACCUCGAUGUUGGAUUAAAGUUAGAUUUAUAGUGCAGGAGCUUAUUAUCUAGGUCUGUUCGACCUUUAAACCUUUACAUGAUCUGAGUUCAGACCGGCGUGAGCCAGGUUGGUUUCUAUCUACAAUUACAUUAUAGUAUUAUAGUACGAAAGGACCUUUUACUAUUAAAAUUUAAUUAAUUAUUGAUUUUUAUUA